CAAGCUCUUUCGGCACUCACAUUGGAUACUGAUGUUGUAGAUACUGACUGGGUUGCAGACUCUGGUGCAUCGAAUCAUAUGACAGGAUCGACAGACGGGACAGGUACUGCUACAAGGGCCACGGAAAAAUAACCUUUAUAUCUUGUCAGGGAAUCCGAAAGCAUAUUUUUCCAAUCGAUUUAGAUCUGGAACAGCAGACAUAUGGCAUCAACGAUUAGGACACCCUCAACCUUCUGCGAUUUCUAUUUUGUUUAAUAAGAACCUUAUUGAUGUUAAAGGUUCCUUGCAUUCUAAAUUUUUAUGUGAUAGCUGCCAAUUAGGCAAAUUGAGCAAAUUUCCAUUUAGUUUGUCUUCCAAUAAAAGUACCACUGUAUUUGAAAAAGUUCAUUGUGAUUUAUGGGGACCAGCCCCUGUUUUAUCUUUUGCCAAA